rnacentral:rRNA from 1 species
CCUACGGGCGGCAGCAGUGGGGAAUAUUGGGCAAUGGGCGCAAGCCUGACCCAGCAAUGCCGCGUGAAGGAAGAAGGCUUUCGGGUUGUAAACUUCUUUGACAGGGGAAGAGCAGAAGACGGUACCCUGAAAACAAGCUACGGCUAACUACGUGCCAGCAGCCGCGGGAAUACGUAGGUGGCAAGCGUUGUCCGGAUUUACUGGGUGUAAAGGGCGGUGAGCCGGGAAGGCAAGUCAGAUGUGAAAUCCGGAGGCUCAACCUCCGAAUUGCAUUUGAAACUGUUUUUCUUGAGUACUGGAGAGGCAGGCGGAAUGCCUUGUGUAGCGGUGAAAUGCGUAGAUAUUAGGAGGAACACCAGUGGCGGAGGCGGCUUACUGGACGGUAACUGACGCUGAGGCUCGAAAGCGUGGGGAGCAAACAGGAUUAGAUACCCUAGUAGUC